rnacentral:misc_RNA from 1 species
CUCAUGAUUAUUAGGGAAUAGGAAAUAUAAUGAUUAAUUUGCUUCCAUUAUGUUGCGUUCUGUUUCCUUCGUAGAUUCCUUCUCGUCCAUAAACUUUUUAAGCCUUUCCACAUCUUUCCAUCUACCCCCCUCCGCAUACAAGUCUAAUAAAGUCUCAUAACAGCUAGAGUUUUCUGGGUCUAGGGCACUGAGCUGUUGGACGACAAACUCUGCCACCUCAUUGACCCAUCUUGUUUUGAUCUACAACCAGCAAGAAGAGCUCCCCAGAUUCUUUUAUCAGGCACCACUGGCAUUUCCUUUACAAAUUUAAGAGCUUCUUCAAUAUUGCC